rnacentral:rRNA from 1 species
AUCAUGGCUCAGAUUGAACGCUGGCGGCAGGCCUAACACAUGCAAGUCGAGCGGAUGAAGGGAGCUUGCUCCUGGAUUCAGCGGCGGACGGGUGAGUAAUGCCUAGGAAUCUGCCUGGUAGUGGGGGAUAACGUCCGGAAACGGGCGCUAAUACCGCAUACGUCCUGAGGGAGAAAGUGGGGGAUCUUCGGACCUCACGCUAUCAGAUGAGCCUAGGUCGGAUUAGCUAGUUGGUGGGGUAAAGGCCUACCAAGGCGACGAUCCGUAACUGGUCUGAGAGGAUGAUCAGUCACACUGGAACUGAGACACGGUCCAGACUCCUACGGGAGGCAGCAGUGGGGAAUAUUGGACAAUGGGCGAAAGCCUGAUCCAGCCAUGCCGCGUGUGUGAAGAAGGUCUUCGGAUUGUAAAGCACUUUAAGUUGGGAGGAAGGGCAGUAAGUUAAUACCUUGCUGUUUUGACGUUACCAACAGAAUAAGCACCGGCUAACUUCGUGCCAGCAGCCGCGGUAAUACGAAGGGUGCAAGCGUUAAUCGGAAUUACUGGGCGUAAAGCGCGCGUAGGUGGUUCAGCAAGUUGGAUGU